rnacentral:lncRNA from 1 species
GUUUAUUUCAAGGUUUAAGGAAGAAGCAAAAAGGUUCCAGCCAGUUCCUGUUUUGCUUUCUAAAAUUAAACUUCUCUCAAGAGCUCACCAUGGCCUGGGCUCUGUCCUGCCUUGCAAUUCUUAGCUGCUUCUCAGGUAAGAGUUUGGAGGAUGAUUCCCUUUCCAUUGGAUUCUGGGCCAAAUGCAAAACUAUUUAUAUUGUGCACAUAUCAUAGUGCCUGGCAGAUAUCUUUGAGAACAAUGGUUGAAUCUAGGUUUUACAAUGUAUUCCUUUUUCUUUUUAUAAAGUUGUGAUUUCACAGAUUACUUUGAUUCAACCUGCUUCUCAGUCUGCAUCUCCUGGACAAACGGCAAAACUCUCCUGCACUCACACCAGCAGUCUGAGCAGUAUUGGCUGGUAUCAACAGAGACCUGGACAGGCCCCUCGCUAUGUUCAUCUUAAUGGCUACGACCGGGGAGAAGGGAUUCCAGAUCGGUUCACUGCUUCCGUCUCUGGGAAUAGUGGCUAUUUAACAAUCACUGACAUCCAGCCUGAAGAUGAGGCUGAAUAUUACUGUCUGGGUUGGUUUACCAGCGUGUUCCACAGUGAUCAAAUCUGAUGGGGAACUGAGACAAAAACCUCUCUUCUUCUUUCAGUGCAGAACUCUGAGAAAUGCUACAGAGCAUUCUAUCUGAUCUGUGCCUUGAGCUUUUUGACUGAGAGAGCCAGGUGCAACAUACUGCAGAGAACCUGGGGGUUGGCUUUCAGCGGCACAACUCCCCAAGGGACUAUGAGUCCCCUAAGUCCAUGAUCAGUCAGAGGAGACUGGAUGGAGGCAGGUUCCAGUCAUAGCAAGGUAGAUCUUUGUUUUUUCUGUUGCAACAGAGUCCCUGCCCUCUUGCAAGCAGGUGAGAGAGACCAAGACAUUGCCCAACUCCUUGGCCAAAAACCACCCAAAAAGGAUCACACAUACAUCACAAAAAGAAGCAGUCUAAGAUUGAAAAUUUGAGGUUGCGGCUUUUUCCUGUCUGCCAAGAUACCUGACAAUGUAUUACUGAUUGCAAUACCUGGGUAGUGUGGCCAUUCUUUUGAGAUUGUAAAUCCUUUGGUUCUCAAAUCCAGUUCACAGACUGUCAUGGAACUGCCAUCAGUGUCCGAGGGAGAGAGCAAGCUCCAAAGGGAUCCCAGAGAGCGUCCCGGGAGUGGGAGGGGCAGCCCAUCUUCUGGGGAAGGGAAUCAGCGUAGCUCCAGUGGAGAAGGGGGGCAGAUGGGGGAAUCGGCGAGACGGUCCCAUGACUCCUUGCCGGGGACCAGCGGGGAGAGGAAGAGUCCUCCGCUGCCUACGCCCUCCUUGCGCAGAAGGCUUCCGCGCAGGGAGAGUAGGAGGAGACUGGGUGUCAAAGAGCUUCUUUGCUGGAAGAAGUUUAAGAAACGCCCACUGACGGAUUCUGCCAGCGAUUGAGACAGCCACGGGUGAGUGGCUGUCCGGACAGGAAAGGUUCACUCAGGCAACCCAGCCAGGUGUUGGGACAGGCUUACGCACGAGUAACCCCUAGAACCAUUACACAGACCCAUCCUAUCCAUACACAAAUAUGCCCUUAAGACAGGAUUUAAAGGAUUUGUAAGUGAAAGAACUAUUGGAAUAGUUUUCUCCAAGUUAUCUCCUUCUGUAGAGAAAACAUUUAGAGUAAUUAGAAGAGCCAAGAUGGCUUUGGGGGAUGGUUUCUGUGUGCUAAAAUAAUGUGUUAUUUUCUCAGGAAAUAUUUCCUAAAUUUUGAAGUGGUUGACUAAAACCUUCAGUACCAUGAACAGGGAAAGAGGUAUUUGGCAAGCUUCCAUGUUUACAGAAGAGUGUGAGUGAUGCUACAGCUGUGAGUCCCCCCCCGCCCCCCCGCAUCCAGAACUGAGCUAGAAGCCUUCUCUCUCAUUUAAAUAUAUUCCCCUUCAUGCAAAUAUCUUCUCUGCUCUUGGGGUUGGAUGGCAUGCCCCGGCCCCUCCGAGGAACCGUGGCAUUUCCCACAAAGCCCAAUGGAUGUCUAUAGCUUUGCAUAAGACUCCCUUCAGUUUCAGUUCCUAGGCAGAUAUAAAACUGGGCAGAUAUAAGAGAGGAAGGUUCCUACAAGUUUUCUGCUUAUUUUACAAAGCCCAAAUCCUCUUCGGAGCUUGGCAUGGCCUGGGCUCUGUCCUUCCUUGCACUUCUCAGCUAUUUCUCAGGUAAGGCUGUGGAGGGCUCCGCUUCAUAGAUUUCUGGGGCAAUAAAACCAGCUCUAUGGAACUUUGAUCACGCAGCUUUUAUGAUGCUUCUGUGCAAACCAAAUGAAUCAAUGCCAUUUUUCUUUCUUUCUGCUAAGGUGUCAUUUCUCAACAUACUCUGAUUCAACCUGCCUCUGAGUCUGUGUCCCCGGGACAAACUUCUAAACUCCCUUGCACUGCCAACACUACUCCCAGUGGUACCUAUGUUGCCUGGUAUCAACAGAGACCUGGUCAGGCCCCUCGCUAUGUGCAUGGUAAUAGCGACAGCAGGGGGGAAGGGAUCCCUGAUCAUUUCACUGCUUCCCUCUCUGGGAAUAUGGGCUAUUUAACCAUCACCAACACUCAGGCUGAAGAUGAGGCUGACUAUUACUGUGGGGCUUGGUUCAGCAGCAUGCUGCACAGUGCUAAAAUCUGACGGGGAGCUAAAACAAAAACUCCCAAUCUUCUUCCUUCGCAGCAGGGAGUUGCGAACCAUUAGAUAGAUUCAUUUAAUCUGAAUUUGAUCCCUUUAAUCUUCCUUUUUUAUUUCUUUUUAUAUAUAAUUUUAAUUAAAUUUUCUGUUUUACAAUUUGAAAAACUCAUUUUACAUCCUUAAGAUAUCAGUGACUUCCCUUCUUUUCUUUCCAUGGUUCAUUUUACAUAUCAUAAAUCCCUACAUAUUUUAGGUAAACUAAACCAUUCAGUACUCCAUUAUUGCAUCCAUCAAAAGCUGUUUACACUGUUGAAUUUAUCUUAAUGUUGCCAGUCUCUUCAGUUGUGCACAAUUAUUUCCCAUAUAUUCAAUAAACAUUUUCCAAUCUUCUUUAAAUGUAUGUUCUUCUUGUUCUCUUAUUGUAUAUGUUAAGUCUGCAAGUUGUACAUAUUCUGUCAACUUACAUUGCCAUCCUUCUUUGCUUGGGACCUCACUCAUUUUCCAUUUGGGGGCUAACAAAGCACAAGCCGCAGUAGUGGCAUGCAUAAAUAACCUUUUUUGAGACCUGGGAAUUUCAGUCUGAAUUAUCCACCACAGAAAGGACUCUGGUUAUUGGAGGAAAGCACUUUUAAACAUUUUUUCAAUUCAUUAUGGAUCAUUUCCCAAUACCCCUUUACCCUUUUACAAGUCCACCACAUAUGAAUAAUCUUUGCAUCCUAGAGAUUAAGGGAACAGGAAUGAGAUCGUUAUUUCAGUUCGAUCCCACCCUCCCUCCCAAAGCAAAAAGGGAAAUCAAAAGUUUGCAAGUCUAUAAGACCACAAGUAGAGACUUGUUGGAUCAGGUCAAAAUGUAUAUCCAAGAUUAAAAAACCAGUCUACAUCAGCCAAAUAAUCUUUGCAUCCUAGAGAUUAAGGGAACAGGAAUGAGAUGGCCUCCCAUCCCUUCUCUAGGUUGAGUUCGCACACAAACCCCUAUUUUCCAUGCACAGAUCAAUACAUCUUGCAGAUUUAGCUAUUUCAGUUCAAUACCACCCUCCCUCCCAAAGCAAAAAGGGAAAUGAAAAGUUUGCAGGUCUAUAAGACCACAAGUAGAGAUUUGUUGGAUCAGGUCAAAGGCCCAUCUAGUCCAACAUGCUGUUCUCACAAAGAGCCAGCCAGAUGACUAUGGGAUGCUUGCAAGCGGGACCUGAGAGUGACAGGGACUCUCUUCACUGGGGAUUCCAAGCAGCUGUUACUGGGAGGCAAAUUUAUUCCAACGCUGGAGGCAGAGUGCUGUGCGUUAUGGAAUAACUCUCACGGUGGUCUCAUGUGCUACAUAGUUAAGAUAGCAGAAAAUCACUCUAGGAAGUCCAUGACAUGGUAAUAUCACUAAGUCGAGAUUCAUACUGAUGCCCUGAUGACAUCACUGGCAAGACAUAGGAGCAGUAUCACAAAAUGUAUAUCCAAGAUUAAAAAACGAGUCUACAUCAGCCAAAAAUAUUCUAGAAAAGCUUCUUCUUACUCAAGUCCUUAAAAGAGCGGUGAUAGAGCACCAGUAAAGAACGUUAUUCAUAUUACACCAUUAGUUUGGGUGUUCUACAAAGCCUAUAGGUAUAGGAUGACUGCUAUUUCACAUUUAACCUUUAGGGGAAGAUAUUGGUCCACUUUUCUAACUCUGGGCAGAAGAGGGGAUGUGAGAGACCUCCAGGGCACCUGGCACCUGUGGUGUGAAUUGAAGCAGGAGAAUCUUCACGGCACAUGGGCCCAUUCAAAGUGCUUUGUGAUCAGCCAUGCUCAGCGUUGGGAUGAAAUUGAGAUGUAGAUGCAUUGCAUUCCAUCAUUUGUUUUUAGGUUAGAAUAUGUUUCGUCCCCUUUGGUUCCUGUUUGUUCAAAAUGCAUUUGUCCGUUUCUUUGAUGGCUUUUCUGUUCAGCCCACUGCGGCAACGAUUACGAAAGAAGUGUCAUUUUCCUUGGGAGGAGUGGAGUGUGUCCCUGUCCAGGAUUUGGUGCUUUUCAGGUGCUUCAGCACUUAGCCUCGAUCCAGGUGCUUUCCAGAGAGUAAAUUCCCCUACUUCACUCAUUUGCCAAAGAUGCUUCUGAGCUGCGCCACUGACAGAAGGAACCCCAGAAUAUAUUGCGUCCAAAGCAACUAACAUUUUAAGCAUGGGUGGGGAACUGCAGGCUGUGGUGGUCACAUAAUAAACUUAAAUGAACUUCCUAUCCAGCCGUCAGAAUUCUCCCUAGGCUACACCUCUCACCAAAUGUGCUGUGAUGGCCUGGGAUUCGGAGUCGGAUGCUGAACCUGAGGGAUCCCAGCUUGCACAGGAUUCCCCGCCUCCCGAACCAGCUGAGCCGGGGCUGGGGCAUGAGCCUGAAGGGCCCUCACCUGUGCUGGAUCCUCAGGUGCAGGCACCAGCUGAGUCUGCUCUGGCUCCUGAGGACCUAUUGCCUGCAGGUGCUCCACUCUCAGCCCCGUCAGAGGAAGCUGAGGUUUCUUCUGGGUCCGGUAACCCUCCAGUCUCUCCUGAGCUGCAGAGGCUCAGGGCAGAGAGGUGGAGGGAACUAAGUUCCCGCAGGAGGAGUGCUCACCUCCAGGCCAGGAGAGGUGAGUCACCUGUGGACCGGGGCCACCCUAUGCCUAGGGGCAGAUAAUAGCCAGCCAGCCCCAGUCCCAAGUUGCGAAGCAACAUUGUUGGUCUCCAGUUCCUGCCUGAACCCUGCCCUGCACCCUGCCUCAGCUUUUACGCACUGCCUUCAUAUUGCUCCUUCGACCUCGGACUGGACUAGGACAUCGUCUCUCGAUCUACCCAUGGGACCAGCAUACCUGCCCUAUGUCCUAAAGCAGAGGUUUUCAAUCUUUUUGAGUCCACAACUCCCUUGACCAGCUACGUUCUUCCUGUGGCACCCCUGUGGGACUCAGGAGCCCAUCUAUGUCACCUCUUGCCGGCUGAGCUGGCCGCCCUACAACUCUUUUCAAACACCUUCCUUUUUAGUGUGUUCCCUCAGCCUCCUCUCCUCACCCCUCUCACUGGGAAUCCUCUGGGCAACAGCCGCUUCUACCCCUGGUCUCUGAGCUUCCACCCCCUUCCAUGCCACAAAAAGAGGUGCCUCCUCACACUGUCCCACAGGAGCCUGGGAAUCACCCCCUGGCCAGCCCCAGAGGCACCAUUCACCUGGGGAGCUUGUACCCAGGGCUGUUGCAACAAACAGCUGUGCAAGCCUUUGGGAGGCAGAGAUGUGAGAGGGCAUCAGAGUAAGGAGGGAAGGAAAGGGGCAGAGGCCAGCGUUGCCCAUGGCGCCCUGACCAUCAUUCAAGGCACCUCAGGGUGCCACUGCACACUGCUUGAAAACCACUGCAUUUGAGGAUCUGAGAGACCACCUGAGCCCCCCACCCCUGCAAUGUGAAAUGAAACAGGUGAAUCUUCACUGCUGUUUCCUGUUCAAUUAUACUCAUUUCCUUUAUAAUUUGAUGUUUUAGAAUAGUUUCAUUCACUUUGAUUCAUUCAUCUGUCACUCCAUUUGCUCAUUUGCUUGAUGUGUUGAGCUCAUUGCAAUGGACUUGGCAAAACCAGCUUAAUUUUCUUGGGACGGGGUGUGUGGGGUGUGUGUGUGUGUGUGUGUGUGUGUGUGUGUAGUCAGCCUGGUUCCAGCUCCUCCUCCACAUCAAGAUCACCUCAUCUCUUCUUUUUAAAUAAUCUCUCUCAUGCAAACGUCUUCUCUGAUCAUUGGCUGAGAGGAGUGGAAUUUCUCCAGAGUCAAUGGGUGUCAAUAACUUUAUAUGACAGAUCCUUCAUCUGAAGCUCCUUGCAGGGUUUAAGGAAGAAGGAAAAAAGGUUCCAACUAGUUACCAUUUUGCUUUUCAAAGUCAAACUUCUCUUGAGAGCUCACCAUGGCCUGGGAUCUGUCCUUCAUUGCAAUUCUUAGCUGUUUCUCAGGUAAGAGUUUAGAAGACUCAAUUUUCCAUUGGAUUCUGAGCCAACCACAAAACUAUUUAUAUUGUGCACAUAUCAUACAGCCUGGCAGAUAUUUGGGAGCACAAUGAAUCAAUCUAGGUUUUACAAUGCAUUUCUUUUUCUUUUUAUAAAGUUGUGAUUUCACAGAUUACUUUGAUUCAACCUGCUUCUCAUUCUGCAUCUCCUGGACAAACGGCAAAACUCUCCUGCACUUACACCAGCAGUCUGAGCUAUAUUGGCUGGUAUCAACAGAGACCUGGACAGGCCCCUCGCUAUGUGCAUUUUAAUGGCUACGAUCGGGGUGAAGGGAUUCCAGAUCGGUUCACUGCUUCUGUCUCUGGGAAUAGUGGCUAUUUAACAAUCACUGACAUCCAGCCUGAAGAUGAGGCUGAAUAUUACUGUCUGGGUUCGGUUUGACACAGCUGUGUUCCACAGUGAUCAAAUCUGAUGGGGAACUGAGACAAAAACCUCUCUUCUUCUUUCAGUGCAGAACUCUGAGAAAUGCUACAGAGCAUUCUAUCUGAUCUGUGCCUUGAGCUCUUUGAACAAUAGAGCCAGGUGCAAUAUACUGCAGAGAACCUGGGGGUUGGCUUUCAACUGCACAACUCCCCAAGGGACUAUGAGUCCCCUACACCCAUGAUCAGUCAGAGGAGAAUGGAUAAGUCAGGAUCCAGUGAUAGCAAGGCAGAUCUUUGUUUUUUCUGUUGCAACAGAGUCCACAGCAGCAGUGGAGGAAGAGGCUCCGGUGCCUGGGGCAGCACACCCAGGGGCGGGGCAAGCCGCCCAUAGCGGUGGGCGAGGGUAAGGCAAGCUGCCCAUAGCACCACGGGGCCUCCAGAGUCUGCCUGCCUCCUCCCACUCCGCCACCCUACAGCUGGGGGGGAGGCAGUGGCUGGGCCGUUUGGGCAGUGUGGAGCCUGUGCGCACCCAAGCCACUGUCUCUCUCUCUCUCUCCAAGGAGAGAAGCGUGGCUUGGGCAUGUUGCAGGCCCCGCGGUGAGUGCUGCCCGGCAUUUUGUCACACCCCCCCCGUGGUGAUACCUGGGGCCGUCCGCAUCCACCACUCACCCCUUCCUCCACCCCGGUCCCCAGCCUCUUGCAAGGAGGUGAGAGAGACCAAGACAUUGCCCAACUCCUUGGCCAAAAACCACCCAAAAAGGAUCAUACAUACAUCACAGAAAGAGGCGGAAAGUUGAGGUUGUGGCUUUUUCCUGUCUGCCAACAUACCUGAUAAUGUAUUACUGAUUGCAAUACCUGGGCAGUGUGGCCCUUCUUUUGAGAUGGUAACUCCUUUGGUUCUCAAAUCCAGUUCACAGACCCAUCCUAUCCAUACACAAAUAUGCCUUUAAUACAGGAUUUAAAGGGUUUGUGAGUGAAAGAACCAUUGGAAUAGUUUUCUCCAACAUAUCUCCUUCUGUAGAGUAAUUAGAGUAAUUAGAAGAGCCAAGAUGGCUUUUGGGGAUGGUUCUGUGUGCUAAAAUAAUGUGUUAUUUUCUCAGGAAAUAUUUCCUAAAUUUUGAAGUGGUUGACUAAACCCUUCAGUACCAUGAACAGGGAAAGAGGUGUUUGGCAAGCUUCCACAUUUCCGGUACAGAAGAGGGUGAGGGAUGCUACAGCUGUGGGAUUUUUGCCCUCAUCCAGAACUGAGCUAGAAGCCUUCUCUCUCAUUUAAAUAUAUUCCCCUUCAUGCAAAUAUCUUCUCUGCUCUUUGGCUAGGAUAGAAUGCCCCGCCCCCUCAGAGGAAAAGUGGCAUUUCCCACAAAGCCCAAUGGACGUCUAUAGCUUUGUAUAAGACUCCCUUCGGUUUCAGUUCUGAAAUAUACCGUAUUUUUCGCUUUAUAAGACGCACCAGGCCACAAGACCCACCUAGUUUUUGGAGGAGGAAAACAAGAAAAAAAAUAUUCUGAAUCUCAGAAGCCAGAACACCAAGAGGGAUCACUGCGCAGUGAAAGCAGCGAUCUCUCUUGCUGUUCUGGCUUCUGGGAUAGCCGUGCAGCCUGCAUUCGCUCCAUAAGACGCACACACAUUUCCCCUUACUUUUUAGGAGGGAAAAAGUGAGUCUUAUAGAGCAAAAAAUACGGUACUUGGAGUGGAGAGUGGAUUUCAUUCUCUUUAUUCUGCUCAUAGUGGUGAGGAGGAAUGAAAGUUCCCCCAAAAUAUCUGCUUUAUAUACAUUAUUUACACAAUGGGCCGCACAUGAUUGGCUAAUUCUGGGAUUCUCCUGUAGGCCAAUCAGGUUGUGGAUUCACUUUCACCUGGAGCUGGAUUGGGUGGCUCCUGCGGGCCAGUCAUACUGCUGCAUUGUUCUAGGACCAAUCAGACUGCUGCAUUUUGGAUCCUAUUCAACUCAGUACAUAGCAAGCUCCUAGGCAGAUAUAAGAAUAAACUGGGCAGAUAUAAGAGAGGAAGGUUCCUACAAGUUUUCUGCUUAUUUUACGAAGCCUAACUCGUCUUCGGAGCUUGGCAUGGCCUGGGCUCUGUCCUUCCUUGCACUUCUCAGCUAUUUCUCAGGUAAGGCUGUGGAGGGCUCCUCUUCAUAGAUUUCUGGGGCAAUAAAACCAGCUCUAUGGAACUUUGAUCACGCAGCUUUUAUGAUGCUUCAGUGCAAACCAAAUGAAUCAAUGCCAUUUUUCUUUCUUUCUGCUAAGGUUUCUCAACAUACUCUGAUUCAACCUGCCUCUGAGUCUGUGUCCCCGGGACAAACUUCUAAACUCCCUUGCACUGCCAACACUACUCCCAGUGGCACCUAUGUUGCCUGGUAUGAACAGAGACCUGGUCAGGCCCCUCGCUAUGUGCAUGGUAAUAGCGACAGCAGGGGGGAAGGGAUCCCAGAUCGAUUCACUGCUUCCCUCUCUGGGAAUACAGGCUAUUUAACCAUCACCAACACUCAGGCUGAAGAUGAGGCUGACUAUUACUGUGGGGCUUGGAUCAGCAGCAUGUGGCACAGUGCUAAAAUCUGACGGGGAGCUAAAACAAAAACUCCCAAUCUUCUUCCUUCGCAGCAGGGAGUUGCCAACGAUUAGAUAGAUUCAUUUAAUCUGAAUUUGAUCCCUUUAAUCUUCCUUUUUUAUUUCUUUUUAUAUAUAAUUCUUAUUAAAUUUUCUGUUUUACAAUUUGAAAAACUCAUUUUACAUCCUUAAGAUAUCAAUGACAUCCCUUCUUUUCUUUCCAUGGUUCAUUUUACAUAUCAUAAAUCCCUACAUAUUUUAGGUAAACUAAACCAUUCAGUACUCCAUUAUUGCAUCCAUCAAAAGCUGUUUACACUGUUGAAUUUAUCUUAAUGUUUCCAGAGUUUUCAGUUGUGCACGAUAAUUUCCCAUAUAUUCAAUGAACUGUGGGGGUGCAAUAGAAAAACGGCACCCUUGUGCAAGAUUGUGCAAGAGGAAACAUCUGCUGACUUGUUCCCCCCACACGCCUGGGUCACUGUCGCUGCCUAACCGCAAGGCUGUCAUGCUGUCUGGAGUUAUGUCCUGGUAGAGAAUAGUUAUUCUGAGAAAUGCAAACCCUAGCUGUUUUCCACCCGAGUGCUACACGUGUAUAUGCAACAUGAUGUAAUGUGCGCAAGGCUAAUAAACAUGCAAGGCUGCUGGGGGACAGAGCUCACUCCUUGCUUAGACCUUCACCCAUGACUCUUCGUUAUUUUCCUCCGCACCUGGUGGGCUGGUUCCCCGACAAAUGGUGCCUCGUGUGAGGCCUGAACGGCUUCCAGGACGCGUGCUGUCAAAGACGGUCCUCCCUGCUACUCACCCGCCCGGCUGUGGCUCAAGGCGCCUCUCAUCUUCGGAUCCCCGGUGAGUAGCUAUUUUUCUAUUUUUAUCAUGGGUUCUGCGCUCUCCAACCCUCAGAAACAAUUUUUAAAAGACAUGCAGCACCUCCUUCGGGAAAAUAAACAGCAAGUACCUGAAGGUGAUCUAAUUGCAUUGAUUCUGGCAAUAGAUGAACAUUGUCCAUGGUUCCCUGAGGACGGGACAUGGGAAAUUCCAGCAUGGAACAGCAUUGGCGACCACUUUCAUGGCCAUGGCCGCAUAAAUCUUCACGUCCUUAGUGCCUGGGCUAAAGUCCGUGGCUGCAUGGCAACUCUUACGCCCAAAAACAUCCUCUUGGCUUCGUUGCAACCACAACAAAAAAACAGUCCUGAAUAUGCCUUUUAUAUAUCCGGCUGCACAGCUUCUACCACCACCACGGCCUCCGCCACGACCACCAGAUUAUCAGCCUCCGCCGACGCCACGGGGGACUGCAAUUAACCACGCAGCCCCCCUCUUAGGACUUUCAUCUGGCACGCCAGUGGCUAAAGUCAUACUGCUCCUCUGCGGAUGCCACAACUCCUACAGAUACCCCUUAAUUGCUGCUGCAAUGCCUCUCACAGCUCAGCGCCCUACAUUAAAAAUGACACUGGGUGGACGUGAGGUAGAGGGGGUUCUGGAUACAGGGGCAGACGUUACUGUGAUUGCUAAACAAGACUGGCCUCCCGAAUGGCCCACGAAGGCACCUGCCCAAGUUUUGGGUGUCGGGGGAGAAACGCCAGCCUGUCAAAGCCUCCACCCAAUUGAUAUCCUUGUGGCUGCGAAGCACAUAUCAGUGGAAUUAUUAAGAGACCUUACAUCUGCUCUCACAGAUUUUGGACUGUGUAUUGCCCCAGAUAAGGUUCAGCAAACUUUGCCUAUGUUAUAUCUUGGACAUAAAUUGACACAACAAGCUGCUAUUCCGGUUGUUCCCCAAUUGUCUUUUCCUGCCCGCCUACGGCUGGUUGACCUUCAACAACUUUUGGGACACCUGAAUUGGAUUAAGAAUUACCUUAAUCUGCCUACUAGCACCUUGUCACCAUUGUUUUCUGCCUUACAAGGACACAAACUACCCGGAGAAGUCAUCCCAGUUACAGAAGAAAUGCUACAAGCCUUACAACAGGUUAAUGCUUUAUUAAGAGACCGAAUGGUGGAUCGCAUAGACACUCUGCACAAUGUGCAGUUAUCCUUGGCAAUUUUUCCACACCUUUGCUGCCUACAGCCAUUCUCUACUCACAGAAAUCGGCUGCCCCUCGAGUGUCAACAUUGUGGAAUGGAUACACCUUCCGCAUACUCCACCGCGUAACAUUUAUUCCUCUCCAGCGGCUGUAAUGGAUUUGGUAAUUAAAGGGCGCGCUCGAGCAAAAGCCCUCUCUGGACUGGACGUUGAAAAAUUUACUUGCCUUUUCACUCACAGAAACACAACACCUGAUUUCCACCUCCGUGGCUACUCAAGUAGCACUUGUGGAUUUUGGGAACCAUCACGCAUAAUCCCCCCUCUGAUCCACGCUUGGCUUUUCUUUCUCAAACUGUCUAUACUUUAAAAACUGCUCUCUCUCCGACCCCCAUCCCCUCUGCCCUUACCCUUUUCACUGAUGGGUCAAAAACGCGGGGGUGGUGGCAUGGGAGGAGGGUGGAAAAUGGAAAACUGAAUUUACUGAGCAGCAGAGGUCCGCCCAGCGGGCUGAACUUGCUGCUGUAAUCCUUGCCUUUCAACUCUUUCCUGACAAACCUUUUAAUUUGCUUGUUGAUACACAAUAUGUGUAUCGCCUUCUGUCUUCCCUGCCUGUUUCUUAUAUCACGCCUGCAUUAGAUGCUGAUUUGUUUGUUCUUUUUUCUACCUUGCAGUAUAUUAUUCAAGAACGCCGUCAUCCUUUUUAUGUUGCACACCUUCGUUCCCACACCAAUCACCCAGGGUUUUUGGCUCAGGGAAAUGCCGUGGCAGACGCUGCACUGCGAUCUGAAGUGUUUUCCUUGUUUUCUGACCCUAUUCUCUCAUUCUACCUUUCACCAGCCUGCUAAAGUUUUGGCAAAGAUGUUUAAAAUCCCUAUUGCACAGGCACGAGACAUUGUCUCUCAAUGUCCUACCUGUUCUAAGGCUCCAACCAUGAUUCCCUUUGAUGCGGUGAACCCUAGGGGUACUGUGCUGGUCCCGGGGGUAAGGUACCUUGGGUGUAGCAGAGUCCACACGAAGAGGGGCAAGGUCCGAGGCAGAGAGCCGGGCGGGGAACAGGAAUGCUGGAACAGGAGGCUGUGCAGGGAACAGGAACACCGGAUGGUCGGGAACAGGAGGCCGAGCAGGGAACAGGAGUACCGGAUAGUCAGGAACAGGAAGCCGAGCAGGGAUCAGGAACACAGGAAGGUCCGAAGCCAACAACGACGUUGCUCCCGCAACCUGGGGCCGGGCUGACUGGGCUUUUAUCCUCUUCUAAGGCCAGGGGCGGUCCCGGUCCCCAGGAGCCCCGCCUCCUCUGGCCUUAAGGCGAGCACUCCUCCUGGGGGCAACCAGUUCCCUUCGCCUCUCUGCCCUAAGCCUCUGCAGAUCAGGAGAGGCCGAAGGGUUACUGGGCCCUGGAGGAGGCUCACCUGUGGCCACUGAGUCAUCAAGCCCCUCUGGGGCCCGAAGGGCUUCACCUGGGGCCAGCUCCUGAUGCACUGCCACAGGUGCAGGCUCUUCAGCAUCAAGGCCUUGCCCCAGUUCAGCCGGCCCUGGAGGCGGGGACUCCUGUGCAGGCCGGGAUUCCUCUGUUUCAUCCUCCGAAUCGGAAUCCCAGGCCAUCACACCAUCCCCUCCCAGGCCCCCUCAACCGAGGGUCCGGACCCGGCUUGCCGGGAUACGUCGCAUGGAACUCUCGGAGGCAGGCAGGUGCAUGGACAUUGGCCGCUGGUUCCCAGGAACGGUCCUCCGGUCCGUACCCCUUCCAGUCAAUGAGAUACUGCAGCUUUCCCUGCGGUAUCGGGAGUCCAGGAUGCGUUCCACCUCGUACUCAGGCUCUCCCCGAACCAACACUGGCUGCGGUCGGGGACGGUUCUGGUGGAACUCGUCGGGUGGGGCCACCGGACUCAAAAGGGACCUGUGGAAGACCGGGUGAACCUUCAGGGUUGCGGGUAACCGGAGACGGAAUGCCACAGGAGAGAUUUGGUCUACGAUAGGGAACGGGCCGGUGAAGCGGGCGUCCAACUUCCGCGAAGGUCGAGAGGGGUGGAGGUGGCGAGUGGAGAGCCAAACCAGGUCACCGACGCGAAGGUCCGGCCCCACCUGGCGGUGGCGGUCGGCCUGGGCUUUGUACGCUUCCUUGGCCUGGUGCAGUUGCUCCACCAAAAGCUGUUGCUGGGACUGGAGCUCUUGAAGCCACUCCGUCACCGCCGGGACCGCGGAUGCCGGCAGCACCUCUGGAAACAGCCGUGGAUGAUAACCAUAACUGGCCUGGAACGGGGUCUGCUGGGUGGACGCAUUCACCGCGUUGUUAUAGGCGAACUCCGCCAAUGCCAGGUGGUCGACCCAGUCAUCCUGCUGGUAGCUGCAGUAACACCGGAGGUACUGCUCCAGCACCGCGCUCGCCCGCUCCGCCUGGCCAUCGGUCUGUGGGUGGUAGGCUGACGAGAGGCAGACCUCUGUCCCGAGGGUCUGGUGUAAUGCUCGCCAGAACCGGGAUGUGAACUGAACGCCCCGGUCGGACACCACGCGCUCAGGUAGUCCAUGCAGGCGGAAGACAUGCUGAAGGUACAGCUGAGCAGUUUCCUUGGCUGUGGGUACAGAUGGACAGGGAGCGCAGUGCACCAUCUUGGUGAAAUGGUCGGAGAAAACCAGAAGGCAGGUACAGCCACGAGACGAGGGUAAGUCCACUACAAAGUCCAACGAAACUGUGUGCCAAGGGCGCGGUGGAACUGGCAAUGGCUGAAGUAGGCCGGGGGUCGCCCGGUAGGCCCCUUGGCGCGUCGGCAGACAUCACAACCAGCAACGUAGCGAGCCACGUCAGCCUUCAGGCGGGGCCACCAAAACUCACGACUGACCAGAUGGGUGGUCCGAUACCGUCCAAAGUGCCCCGCUGCCGGGGCAUCAUGGGCCAUCCGGAGAACCUCCAGCCGCAGUGGCCCUGGCGGGAUGUACAGACGACCGUGGUGCAGCAGGAGGCCCUGAUGCAGGACCAGCCCCGGAUACUGUGGGCUGGACCCUUCAGCCAGCUCCCGGAGUCGGUCCUGGGCCCAAGCGUCGACCCGCUGCUGUUCCCGCACCCGAACCUGCAGUGGCUGCGCCUCCUGGGUGGCCAGGAAUGCGGCCGGAGGUAGGAUCGUGGCGGGUUCUGCUUGCUGUACCGUGUCUGCGUUGUCUUCAGGUUUCCGGGACAGGGCAUCCGCCUUCAGAUUCUGAGAGCUAGGGAUGUAGCGGAUCCGAAACUGGAACCGGGAAAAGAACAACGCCCACCGGAUCUGUCUUUGGUUCAGCUUGCGGGUGGUCUGGAGGUACUUCCAGGUUCCGGUGGUCGGUUCUUACCUCCACCGGAUGUCGUGCCCCUCAAGAUGGUGGCGCCAGACCUCAAAGGCUACCUUGAUGGCCAGUAGUUCCCGCUCCCACACAGUAUAGUUACGCUCCGCUGGUAGGAGCUGGCGGGAAUAGAAGGCACAGGGUAAGAGUGGCGCUUCGGGCCCAAUCUGUUGAGACAAGACGGCACCGAGAGCCGUACUGGAGGCGUCGGUCUCCACCACAAAGGGUCGAGAGGGGUCAGGAUGUUGUAAGAUUGGUGCCCUCUGGAAACAGGCCUUCAACCCCUGAAACGCCUCCUCUGCCUCCUUGUCCCAGGAAAACGGCGUCUUUGGGCGCAGUAGCCGGGUCAACGGGGUGGUGCGAUGAGCAUAAUCAGCGAUGAAGGUCCGGUAGUAAUUGGCGAACCCCAGGAAACGUUGUAGGUCCUUGCGGUUCCGGGGUGCCGCCCAUUCUUGAACCGCUGUCACCUUCCCCGGGUCCAUUUGCACCCCAUCCGGAGAGAGCCGGUGACCAAGGAAGUCCACAGUCCGCUGAUGGAACUCGCACUUGCUGAGCUUUGCGUACAAACGGUGCUCACGCAAGCGCUGCAGCACGGUCCGGACAUGUCCCUCAUGGCGAGCCGGGUCACGGGAGUAAAUCAGUAUGUCAUCCAAAUACACCACCACGUACUUGUCUAACAAGUCCUGAAACACGUGGUUGAUGUAGCGUUGGAACACAGCAGGCGCGUUGCACAACCCGAAAGGCAUAACCAAAUAUUCGAACUGCCCGUACCGGGUCCCAAACGCUGUCUUCCACUCAUCCCCGGCUCGGAUCCGAAUCAAGUUGUAGGCCCCCCGGAGGUCCAGCUUGGUGAACACCUGUGCCCCUUGCACCCGCUCCAGCAGCUCCGAGAUAAGGGGCAAGGGGUAUCGGUCUGGGACGGUAAUUUUGUUCAAGGCUCGGUAAUCAUGGCAAGGGCGGAGUUCCCCACAUUUCUUCUUAACGAAAAGCACUGGUGCCGCGGUAGGCGAGGUGGACGGCCUAAUGAACCCACGCUCCAGGUUCUUGCGCAAGAAGUCCUGCAAAGCCUCGCGCUCUGGCUCUGUUAGAGAAUAUAAGCGACUCACUGGUAGAGGCGCUCCGGGUUGGAGGUCUAUGCCGCAGUCAGAAGGCCGAUGCGGCGGCAGCUGGUCUGCCCCCGUUCCUCGAACACGUCCUGGUAGUCCUGAUACACGGCUGGGAGCGUGGGUGCUGCCUCCUCUGAGGGCGCGGCCGCCAGCGUCCCGGAUUGAGCAUGGGAACAUGGGUCUGGGAAGUGCACGGUCCGUUUGACCCAGUGAAUCUGAACGUUGUGGGCUUCCAGCCAGUCCAUCCCGAGCACCAGGGGGAAGCGGGGCAUAGAGGCAAUGUCCAAAGUUCGCAACUCCCGGUGCUGCUGGAAACACAGGACCAGGGGCUGGGUCUCCUGAGUAACGGCACCUGAACACAGAAGUCGUCCGUCAAUCGCUUCCACCUGGACCGGUACUGGCUUGUUCCGAAGUGGCACCUGAUGAUGGGCGGCAAAAGCAGCGUCCAUAUAAGAGCGGGUUGCCCCUGAAUCCACCAAAGCAUGGGUGGGGAUCCAGGGCCCACCUGGAGGGUAUAAACGCACCGGAACCAUAAGAUGUUGCGAGUCCAUUGAUGCAGGCCCAUUCUGCGCGGUUUGGGACCCCCGGCAGCUAGGGCCAUCAGCUACUGGGGUUGGCGGCUUCUGCGGCUGGCGUUUCUCAGGGCAAGACCGAGCGAAGUGUCCACUUCCGCCACAGUAAAGACAGAGAUUUCCCCCCGACGCCGCGCCUUCUCUGCGGGGGGAAAGGCGUGGCCGCACUGCCCCGAGCUGCAUAGGCUCCUCCGUUAAAUCAGUUGUGACCGUGGGGCUGCCGGAAAAAGCUGGUGCCGUGAACUGGAAGUGUCGGCGACCCCGGGCCUGACGACGAUCCUCCAACCGGUCGUCUAUUUGUAGACUCCGUUGAAUGAGAGUGUCUAGCGUGGUGGGGCGUUCCAUUGUGGCCAACUGGUCCAGUACCUCGUCCGAAAGCCCUUCGAGAUACUGGUCCCGCAGUGCCGAAUCAUUCCAGGUCAAGUCCUGUGCCAACAGCCGAAACUCCGUGGUAUAUGCGGCCACCGUGGACUUGCCCUGUUUCAAACGCCGAAUCGCCCGGUUGGCUUGACUCCCUUUCUGGGGGUUGCCGAACGCGGCCUCCAAACGAUUGCAAAACCCCGUAUAGUCUGCCAGCAAGGGGGAGUCUUGCCUGAGUAGCGGCAACGCCCACUUGGCCGCCUGGUCCUUUAACAAACUAAUCAAAAAGUGCACCUUGGUGCGGUCGUCAGGAAAGUUCCGGGCUCGCCCCUGAAUAUACAGCUUGGCCUGGGCCAGGAACAUGGGAAAGCUGGCCGGGGCUCCAUCAAAUUUCUCAGGCAAAGCCACUGGGUACUUGCCAGGAGCCGGGCGUCGGCCCCAGGAGCCGGUAGGGCUUCCAAGCGUUGUUGAAGUGCCACAACCGCGUCACUGAGCUGCUGCACGGUGUGAGUCAAGGCCUGGUUCUUCUGGGCCAAAGCCACCAGUGCAGCCGCCUGGUCAGCCAUGGCCUCUGGCUCUUCCCGAACGCACCCCUACGAAGGGGGAGUGCGGGUUUGGCGGGAGCAAACUGUGCUGGUCCCGGGGUAAGGUACCUUGGGUGUAGCAGAGUCCACACGAAGAGGGGCAAGGUCCGAGGCAGAGAGCCGGGCGGGGAACAGGAAUGCUGGAACAGGAGGCUGUGCAGGGAACAGGAACACCGGAUGGUCGGGAACAGGAGGCCGAGCAGGGAACAGGAGUACCGGAUAGUCAGGAACAGGAAGCCGAGCAGGGAUCAGGAACACAGGAAGGUCCGAGCCAACAACGACGUUGCUCCCGCAACCUGGGGCCGGGCUGACUGGGCUUUUAUCCUCUUCUAAGGCCAGGGGCGGUCCCGGUCCCCAGGAGCCCCGCCUCCUCUGGCCUUAAGGCGAGCACUCCUCCUGGGGGCAACCAGUUCCCUUCGCCUCUCUGCCCUAAGCCUCUGCAGAUCAGGAGAGGCCGAAGGGUUACUGGGCCCUGGAGGAGGCUCACCUGUGGCCACUGAGUCAUCAAGCCCCUCUGGGGCCCGAAGGGCUUCACCUGGGGCCAGCUCCUGAUGCACUGCCACAGGUGCAGGCUCUUCAGCAUCAAGGCCUUGCCCCAGUUCAGCCGGCCCUGGAGGCGGGGACUCCUGUGCAGGCCGGGAUUCCUCUGUUUCAUCCUCCGAAUCGGAAUCCCAGGCCAUCACAGGUACGUCCCCUCUUGCGGUUUGGCAGAUGGAUGUUACUCACACCCCUCUGCUCGCCCCAUUCUCAAAAGUUCACUUGACAGUGGACACCUCAUCUGGAUUUAUCUGGGCCACCCCAUUGAAGGGUGAGACCGCUCGUCACGUCAUUCAGCACACCCUGCGCUGUUUUGCUGUGAUGGGUAAGCCACAAAGCAUUAAAACGGAUAAUGGCCCAGCCUAUAUUUCCUCUCAGUUCUCAUCCUUUUUGUGAUUUAUGGAAUGUGAAAUUAAUCCAUGGUUUGCCUUUUAAUUCAACAGGACAGGCGAUUGUGGAGAGGGUGCACUUGACCUUCAAGACACUGCUGUCCAAACAACUUGGAGGUCGAAAUGCCCCCUCCGCCGAGAUUCCUUCAAUCGUGCAUACUGUUUUAUUCACUCUUAACCAUCUUUUGUAUCCCCAUAAUAGGGAAUAUACACCGGCUGAGAUUCAUUUUCGAAAAGCAGAGCCUUUGGCUCGGCCUCUUGUAUCUUACAGACAGCUACCUGAUCCAACAUGGCAUGGUCCUGUGCCACUCAUCUCCUGGGGACGCGGCUACGCGGCAGUGGACCUGGAUGGACGGCCCACCUGGUUACCAGCGCGCUGUGUGCGACCCUGGCGAGCUUCUGCCUCGGAAUGAAAUUUAUGACUCUGAUUAAAUAAUAAAAAAGGAGGGCAUGUGGGGGUGCAAUAGAAAAACGGCACCCUUGUGCAAGAUUGUGCAAGAGGAAACAUCUGCUGACUUGUUCCCCCCACACGCCUGGGUCACUGUCGCUGCCUAACCGCAAGGCUGUCAUGCUGUCUGGAGUUAUGUCCUGGUAGAGAAUAGUUAUUCUGAGAAAUGCAAACCCUAGCUGUUUUCCACCCGAGUGCUACACGUGUAUAUGCAACAUGAUGUAAUGUGCGCAAGGCUAAUAAACAUGCAAGGCUGCUGGGGGACAGAGCUCACUCCUUGCUUAGACCUUCACCCAUGACUCUUCGUUAUUUUCCUCCGCACCUGGUGGGCUGGUUCCCCGACAAUGAACAUUUUCCAAUCUUCUUUAAAUGUAUGUUCUUCUUGUUCUCUUAUUGUAUAUGUUAAGUCUGCGAGUUGUGCAUAUUCUGUCAACUUACAUUGCCAUCCUUCUUUGUUUGGGACCUCACUCAUUUUCCAUUUGGGGGCUAACAAAGCACAAGCCGCAGUAGUGGCAUACAUAAAUAACCUUUUUUGAGACCUGGGAAUUUCAGUCUGAAUUAUCCACCACAGAAAGGACUCUGGUUAUUGGAGGAAAGCACUUUUAAACAUUUUUUCAAUUCAUUAUGGAUCAUUUCCCAAUACCCCUUUACCCUUUUACAAGUCCACCACAUCUGAAUAAUCUUUGCAUCCUAGAGAUUAAGGGAACAGGAAUGAGAUUGCCUCCCGUCCUUUCUCUAGGUUGAGUUCGCACACAAACCCCUAUUUUCCAUGCACAGAUCAAUACAUCUUGAGAUUUAGCUAUUACAGUUCAAUACCACCCUCCCUCCCAAAGCAAAAAGGGAAAUGAAAAGUUUGCAGGUCUAUAAGACCACAAGUAGAGAUUUGUUGGAUCAGGUCAAAGGCCCAUCUAGUCCAACAUGCUGUUCUCACAAAGAGCCAGCCAGAUGACUAUGGGAUGCUUGCAAGCGGGACCUGAGAGUGACAGGGACUCUCUUCACUGGGGAUUCCAAGCAGCUGUUACUGGGAGGCAAAUUUAUUCCAACGUUGGAGGCAAAGUGCUGUGCGUUAUGGAAUAACUCUCACGGUGGUCUCAUGUGCUACAUAGUUAAGAUAGCAGAAAAUCACUCUAGGAAUUCCAUGACAUGGUAAUAUCACCGAGUCGAGAUUCAUACUGAUGCCCUGAUGACAUCACUGGCAAGACAUAGGAGCAGUAUCACAAAACGUAUAUCCAAGAUUAAAAAACGAGUCUACAUCAGCCAAAAAUAUUCUAGAAAAGCUUCUUCUUACUCAAGUCCUUAAACCACAAACUUGACAUGAGCCAACAGUGUGACGCGGCAGCUAAAAAGCCAAUGCAAUUCUGGGCUGCAUCAAUAGGAGUAUAGCAUCUAGAUCAAGGGAAGUAAUAGUGCCACUGUAUUCUGCUCUGGUCAGACCUCACCUGGAGUACUGUGUCCAGUUCUGGGCACCACAGUUCAAGAAGGACAUUGACAAACUGGAACAUGUCCAGAGGAGGGCAACCAAAAUGGUCAAAGGCCUGGAAACGAUGCCUUAUGAGGAACGGCUAAGGGAGCUGGGCAUGUUUAGCCUGGAGAAGAGGAGGUUAAGGGGUGAUAUGAUAGCCAUGUUCAAAUAUAUAAAAGGAUGUCACAUAGAGGAGGGAGAAAGGUUGUUUUCUGCUGCUCCAGAGAAGCGGACACGGAGCAAUGGAUCCAAACUACAAGAAAGAAGAUUCCACCUAAACAUUAGGAAGAACUUCCUGACAGUAAGAGCUGUUCGACAGUGGAAUUUGCUGCCAAGGAGUGUGGUGGAGUCUCCUUCUUUGGAGGUCUUUAAGCAGAGGCUUGACAACCAUAUGUCAGGAGUGCUCUGAUGGUGUUUCCUGCUUGGCAGGGGGUUGGACUCGAUGGCCCUUGUGGUCUCUUCCAACUCUAUGAUUCUAUGAUUCUAUGAUUCUAAGAGCGGUGAUAGAGCACCAGUAAAGAACGUUAUUCAUAUUACACCAUUAGUUUGGGUGUUCUACAAAGCCUAUAGGUAUAGGAUGACUGCUAUUUCACAUUUAACCUUUAGGGGAAGAUAUUGGUCCACUUUUCUAACUCUGGGCAGAAGAGGGGAUGUGAGAGACCUCCAGGGCACCUGGCACCUGUGGUGUGAAUUGAAGCAGGAGAAUCUUCACGGCGCAUGGGCCCAUUCAAAGUGCUUUCUGAUCAGCCAUGCUCAGCGUUGGGAUGAAAUUGAGAUGUAGAUACAUUGCAUUCCAUCAUUUGUUCUUAGGUUAGAAUAUGUUUGGAAGUUCCGUCCCCUUUGGUUCCUGUUUGUUCAAAAUGCAUUUGUCCGUUUCCUUGAUGGCUUUUCUGUUCAGCCCACCGUGGCAACGAUUACGAAAGAAGCGUCAUUUUCCUUGGGAGCAGUGGAGUGUGUCCCUGUCCAGGAUUUGGUGCUUUUCAGGUGCUUCAGCACUUAGCCUCGAUCCAGGUGCUUUCCAGAGAGUAAAUUCCCCUACUUCACUCAUUUGCCAAAGAUGCUUCUGAGCUGCGCCACUGACAGAAAGAACCCCAGGAGAUAUUGUGUCCAAAGCAACUAACAUUUUAAGCAUGGGUGGGGAACUGCAGGCUGUGGUGGUCACAUAGUAAACUUAAGUGAACUUCCUAUCCAGCCGUCAGAAUUCUCCCUAGGCUACACCUCUCACCAAAUCUGCUGUGAUGGCCUGGGAUUCGGAGUCGGAUGCUGAACCUGAGGGAUCCCAGCUUGCACAGGAUUCCCCGCCUCCAGAACCAGCUGAGCCGGGGCUGGGGCAUGAGCCUGAAGGGCCCUCACCUGUGCUGGAUCCUCAGGUGCAGGCACCAGCUGAGUCUGCUCUGGCUCCUGAGGACCUAUUGCCUGCAGGUGCUUCACUCUCAGCCCCAUCAGGGGAAGCUGAGGUUGCCUCCGGGUCCGGUAACCCUCCAGCCUCUACUGAGCUGCAGAGGCUUAGGGCACAGAGGUGGAGGGAACUAAGUUCCCGCAGGAGGAGUGCUCACCUCCAGGCCAGGAGAGGCGAGUCACCUGUGGACCGGGGCCGCCCUAUGCCUAGGGGCAGAUAAAAGCCAGCCAGCCCCAGUCCCAAGUUGCAAAGCAACAUUGUUGGUCGCCAGUUCCUGCCUGAACCCUGCCCUGCACCCUGCCUCAGCUUUUACGCACUGCCUUCAUAUUGCUCCUUCGACCUCGGACUGGACUAGCACCUCGUCUCUUGAUCUACCCAUGGGACCAGCAUACCAGCCCUAUGUCCUAAAGCAGAGAUUUUCAAUCUUUUUGAGUCCACAACUCCCUUGACCAGCUACGUUCUUCCUGUGGCACCCCUGUGGGACUCAGGAGCCCAUCUACGUCACCUCUUGCCGGCUGAGCUGGCCGCCCUUCAACUCUUUUCAAACACCUUCCUUUUUAGUGUGUUCCCUCAGCCUCCUCUCCUCACCCCUCUCAUUGGGAAUCCUCUGGGCAGCCACCACUGCUACCCCUGGUCGCUGAGCUUCCCCCCCCCAUGCCACAAAGAGAGGUGCCUCCUCACACUGUCCCACAGGGACUUGGGAAUCACCCCCUGGCCAGCCCCAGAGGCACCAUUCACCUGGGGAGCUUGUACCCAGGGCUGUUGCAACAAACAGCUGUGCAAGCCUUUGGGAGGCAGAGAUGUGAGAGGGCAUCAGAGUAAGGAGGGAAGGAAAGAGGGGCAGAGGCCAGCGUUGCCCAUGGCGACCUGACCAUCAUUCAAGGCAUCCCAGGUUGCCACUGCACACUGCUUGAAAACCACUGCAUUUGAGGAUCUGAGAGACCACCUGAGCCCCCACCCCUGCAAUGUGAAAUGAAACAGGUGAAUCUUCACUGCUGUUUCCUGUUCAAUUAUACUCAUUUCCUUUAUAAUUUGAUGUUUUAGAAUAGUUUCAUUCACUUUGAUUCAUUCAUCUGUCACUCCAUUUGCUCAUUUGCUUGAUGUGUUGAGCGCAUUGCAAUAGCCUUGGCAAAACCAGCUUAAUUUUCUUGGAACGGUGUUUUUGUGUGUGUGUGUGUGUGUGUGUGUGUGUGUGUGUGUAGUCAGCCUGGUUCCAGCUCCUCCUCCACAUCAAGAUCACCUCAUCUCUUCUUUUUAAAUAAUCUCUCUCAUGCAAAUGUCUUCUCUGAUCAUUGGCUGAGAGGAGUGGAAUUUCUCCAGAGUCAAUGGGUGUCAAUAGCUUUAUAUGACAGAUCCUUCAUCUGAAGCUCCUUGCAGGGUUUAAGGAAGAAGCAAAAAAGGUUCCAACUAGUUACCAUUUUGCUUUUCAAAGUCAAACUUCUCUUGAGAGCUCACCAUGGCCUGGGCUUUGUCCUUCCUUGCAAUUCUUAGCUGUUUCUCAGGUAAGAGUUUGGAGGAUUCCCUUUCCGUUGGAUUCUGGGCCAAACACAAAACUAUUUAUAUUGUGCACAUAUCAUACAGCCUGGCAGAUAUUUGGGAGCAUAAUGGAUCGAAUCUAGGUUUUACAAUGUAUUCCUUUUUCUUUUAUAAAGUUGUGAUUUCACAGGUUACUUUGAUUCAACCUGCUUCUCAGUCUGCAUCUCCUGGACAAACGGCAAAACUCUCCUGCACUCACACCAGCAGUCUGAGCAGUAUUGGCUGGUAUCAACAGAGACCUGGACAGGCCCCUCGCUAUGUGCAUCAUAAUCGCUACAACCGGGGAGAAGGGAUCCCAGAUCGGUUCACUGCUUCCGUCUCUGGGAAUAGUGGCUAUUUAACCAUCACUAACAUGAAGCCUGAAGAUGAGGCUGACUAUUACUGUGGGGGUUGGUUUAGCAAUAAGUUCCACAGUGAUCAAAUCUGAUGGGGAACUGAGACAAAAACCUCUCUUCUUCUUUCAGUGCAGGGAGCUGAGAACUGCUACAGAGUGUUUUAUUUGAUCGUGUCUUGAGCUCUUUGAACAAGAGAUCCAGGUGCAAGAUAUUGUAGAGAAACUGGGGGUUGACAUUUUGCUGCUCAACUCCCCAAGGGACUAUGAGUCCCCUAAGUCCAUGAUCAGACAAAGGAGAAUGGAUAGAGGCAGGAUCCAGUGAUAGCAAGGCAGAUAUAUAUUUUUCUGUGAGCAGUGGAGCGUGUCAAUAUCCAGUCUUUGGUGCUUUUCAGGUGUUUCAGCCCUUAGCCUUCAUCCAGUUGCUUUCCAGAGAGUAAAUUCCCCUACUUCACUCAUUUGCCAAAAAUGCUUUUGAGCUGCGUCACUGGCAGAAAGAACCCCGGAAGAUAUUGUGUCCAAGGCAACUAACAUUGUAAGCAUGGGUUGGGAACCGCAGGCUGGGGGUGGUCACAUAGUAGACUUAAAUGGCCUCCCUAUCCAGCUGUCAGAAUUUUCCAGUGCUAGAUUUAUGUAUAGGCUAAGUAGGCUGAAGCCUGGGGCCUCUAAAUCUAGGGUUGCGAAGAGCAAGGCGCAUGGUGCACAGGCUGGUCCCUCCGAUUCCAAUAAAGACAAACAGAGGAAUCAGCUGUGAUAAACAGAACUUUUGAAAUCAAAAGCCGAAGUUGAAAACUGCCUAUGACAGUGCAUGGGAGAGGUCAACUACGAAUGACACCAGAUUCAGGUGGAAGGCCAUUUUGAUCUGCCAUAGUCAUAAUAAAUAACAAGAUGAAAAAAUCUUUUUUAAUAAUUCCAGUGGCACCUUAAAGAUCAACUCAAUAUAAGUUUUCAAGGUAUGAGCUUUUGUCUGUAAU